GAUGAACGCUAGCGGCAGGCUUAAUACAUGCAAGUCGAGGGGCAGCAUGGUGUAGCAAUACACUGAUGGCGACCGGCAAACGGGUGCGGAACACGUACAGAACCUUCCUUCGAGCGGGGAAUAGCCCAGAGAAAUUUGGAUUAAUACCCCAUAGUAUAUUGGAGUGGCAUCACUUUGAUAUUAAAGAUUUAUCACUCGAAGAUGGCUGUGCGUCUGAUUAGGUAGUUGGUGAGGUAAUGGCUCACCAAGCCAACGAUCAGUAACUGGUGUGAGAGCACGACCAGUCACACGGGCACUGAGACACGGGCCCGACUCCUACGGGAGGCAGCAGUAAGGAAUAUUGGUCAAUGACGCAAGUCUGAACCAGCCAUGCCGCGUGAAGGAUGAAGGUCCUCUGGAUUGUAAACUUCUUUUAUAUGGGAAGAAAUUCCCGCAUUCUUGCGGGAUUGACGGUACCAUAGGAAUAAGCACCGGCUAACUCCGUGCCAGCAGCCGCCGUAA
rnacentral:rRNA from 1 species